rnacentral:rRNA from 1 species
UACGGGGGGGGCAAGCGUUGUUCGGAAUUACUGGGCGUAAAGGGCUUGUAGGUGGCCAACUAAGUCAGACGUGAAAUCCCUCGGCUUAACCGGGGAACUGCGUCUGAUACUGGAUGGCUAGAGUGUGGGAGAGGGAUGCGGAAUUCCAGGUGUAGCGGUGAAAUGCGUAGAUAUCAGGAGGAAUACCGAUGGCGAAGGCAGGUCUCUGGGCUGACACUGACGCUCAUGCACGAAAGCGUGGGGAGAAACAGG